UACAGAAUCAUACAGUUGUGCAAUCAUAUUUUUAAAAAUAAAACCAAAAGUUACCAAGAUAUUUAUGCAAAGCUUACCAAAAUAUUUUGUUAGUAAUUAAUCAGUACAACAAUUAAAUCAAAGGUCAGUUGUUCCUGCAUAUACAGUAAUUUGUUAUACUCAGCAUCAAGGAGUUAGUGAAAUAUUUACUAUUUUUAAUAUUAUUCCCAUAUUAAUGAUACGUCAUAUGAAGUACCGGUUGUUUUGUGAAGUAUUGUUUUACAUACAGACACAACUAUGAACCACCAGAGGACUGUUUUGUUGCCAUAGUUUUUAAUUAUCAGGUUGUUUUUAUUUACUAGUUAUUGAUUUGUGUUUUUUUGUUUGUCGUUAAGGGCUUGCUGUUUUGGUUUUACCCUGAAGUGUUUACCAUGUAUAUGUGCAAUAAUCAAACAAAAUGAAAUAAAUGUGCUUUUCAGAUG
rnacentral:sRNA from 1 species